CAUGGAUCACUGUGUUGCUUAUGAUAAUACUGGAAUAAUGAUCAUAAGAGAGCAUUUACAGACAGGAAAGAAUUCUGCGAUGAAGCUAGAGAAAUAGUUCUACUGUAAUGACAGAAGGCAAAACCAUUUGCUGUUAAGUCUUGUUCAAACAGUGAUCAAUCACCUAAUCAGAGAAGUCCUUGUGUUCAUUCGAUUUAUACCACCAAUCGCAUUCUGUAGCAGGGGAUUAAGCAGAAACCGCCCAUCUAUUUAGUAGGCAAAAAUGGUGGAAGAUCACAGAGGGACAACAUUACAAGUUUACCAUAGUCGAUCUGUUUCUAAGGUUUAAAUUAAGAGGCCAGACAAAUUGAUGUGGAACUGCCUAUAACAUGCGAGUCAUGUCAGUUCUGCUAUUUAUCUGAAUCUAGUCUAAAUUUUGCAGCAUUAUUCCAAUCCUCUUCACUUGCUACUAUGGUGCUAUUUUCAUGAAUUUGAUCAUGAUUUGCUUUUGGACAGUCCACAGGGACAACUAGAUAUCAUGGUGACAUAAAAGUAAAAGUAGUGCAAUAUAUAUGCCAAUAUUGUGGAACCCUGAAAAACUUAUCCGUUUCUCGAGAUACUCAAUAGACCAAAGAGAAAUGACUUUGUAGCACUCGAGGGCCCAUUUAUCUCUGGUUCCAAUGUUGGAUGCUGCUUUUAACACGAAUUAUUGGUAUUUGGGUUGUCACCAUCUGACUAGAUUUGCAGUUGGCAUCUGUGAACAGCAAGAGAAGAAACCAGGAUUUGUUAACCUGGAAAUGGUGCUGGUCUAUGCUACCGAGUCUAUGACUAUGAAAUGGUGUUCCUGCUGUUUAGAGAUUUACCAGAGUUUCCCAAUUUCGAUUAGUCAAAUGUGAUGAAUUACCAUUGGUAUUUCAAUUAAGCUAUUGAAAUGCUGCAGUACAUCGUUUGAAUAAACUUUUUUGACCAUUCAGAUCCUGAGAACGGAAAGCUAACCAUGGAAAAAGAAAUGGAUUUUCGAUUUUCAACCAAGAACAGAAGAAUUGCUAAUAACUAUACUGAUAUCAGCUUGGCUUACCAUUCCUAAGACAUUAAUUUCCAAACCACAGGA